UACGAGGGGGGCAAAUGUUGUUCGGAAUUACUGGGCGUAAAGCGAGCGUAGUCGGUUAUUUAAGUCGGGUGUGAAAGCCCCGGGCUCAACCUGGGAAUUGCAUUCGAUACUGGAUAGCUAGAGUUCGGCAGAGGGAAGCGGAAUUUCCGGUGUAGCGGUGAAAUGCGUAGAUAUCGGAAGGAACAUCAGUGGCGAAAGCGGCUUCCUGGACCAGAACUGACGAUCAGGCUCGAAAGCGUGGGGAGCAAACAGG
rnacentral:rRNA from 1 species